rnacentral:rRNA from 1 species
UACGUAGGGUGCAAGCGUUAAUCGGAAUUACUGGGCGUAAAGCGUGCGCAGGCGGUUUUGUAAGUCAGAUGUGAAAUCCCCGGGCUUAACCUGGGAACUGCGUUUGAAACUACAAGGCUAGAGUGUGGCAGAGGGGGGUGGAAUUCCACGUGUAGCAGUGAAAUGCGUAGAGAUGUGGAGGAACACCGAUGGCGAAGGCAGCCCCCUAGGUUAACACUGACGCUCAGGCACGAAAGCGUGGGGAGCAAACAGG